UGGGGAAUAUUGCGCAAUGGGCUAACGCCUGACGCAGCAACGCCGCGUGGAGGAUGAAGGUCUUUGGAUUGUAAACUCCUGUCAGCAGGGAAAAAGCGACUUAGGUUAAUACCCUAGGGAGUUGAUUGUACCUGCAGAGGAAGCCCCGGCUAACUCUGUGCCAGCAGCCGCGGUAAUACAGAGGUCUCAAGCGUUGUUCGGAAUUACUGGGCGUAAAGGGUGCGCAGGCCGCGCGGGCAGUCAAAUGUGUAAUUCAGGGGCUCAACCCCUGCACUGCGCUUGAUACUUCCGCGCUCGAGCUUUGGAGAGGAGUCUGGAAUUCUCGGUGUAGCAGUGAAAUGCGUGGAUAUCGAGAAGAACACUUAGGGCGAAGGCAAGACUCUGGACAAAUGCUGACGCUCAUGCACGAAGGCUAGGGUAGCGAA
rnacentral:rRNA from 1 species